GAUGAACGCUGGCGGUAUGCUUAACACAUGCAAGUCGAACGGUCUCUUCGGAGAUAGUGGCGGACGGGUGAGUAACGCGUGAGAAUCUGGCUCUAGGUCGGGGACAACAGUUGGAAACGACUGCUAAUACCGGAUGUGCCGAAAGGUGAAAGAUUUAUUGCCUAGAGAUGAGCUCGCGUCUGAUUAGCUAGUUGGUGUGGUAAGAGCGCACCAAGGCGACGAUCAGUAGCUGGUCUGAGAGGAUGAUCAGCCACACUGGGACUGAGACACGGCCCAGACUCCUACGGGAGGCAGCAGUGGGGAAUUUUCCGCAAUGGGCGAAAGCCUGACGGAGCAAUACCGCGUGAGGGAGGAAGGCUCUUGGGUUGUAAACCUCUUUUCUCAAGGAAGAACAAAAUGACGGUACUUGAGGAAUAAGCAUCGGCUAACUCCGUGCCAGCAGCCGCGGUAAUACGGAGGAUGCAAGCGUUAUCCGGAAUGAUUGGGCGUAAAGGGUCCGCAGGUGGCAGUGUAAGUCUGCUGUUAAAGAAUGAGGCUCAACCUCAUCAAGGCAGUGGAAACUACACAGCUAGAGUACGGUCGGGGUAGAAGGAAUUCCUGGUGUAGCGGUGAAAUGCGUAGAGAUCAGGAAGAACACCGGUGGCGAAAGCGUUCUGCUAGACCUGUACUGACACUGAGGGACGAAAGCUAGGGGAGCGAAUGGGAUUAGAUACCCCAGUAGUCCUAGCCGUAAACGAUGGAUACUAGGCGUGGCUUGUAUCGACCCGAGCCGUGCCGGAGCCAACGCGUUAAGUAUCCCGCUGGGAGUACGCACGCAAGUGUGAA
rnacentral:rRNA from 1 species